UCAGGAUGAACGCUGGCGGCGUGCUUAACACAUGCAAGUCGAACGAAGCACUUUAUUACGAUUUCUUCGGAAUGACGAUUUAGUGACUGAGUGGCGGACGGGUGAGUAACGCGUGGUAACCUGCCUUAUACAGGGGGAUAACAGUUAGAAAUGACUGCUAAUACCGCAUAAGCGCACAGGAUUGCAUGAUCUAGUGUGAAAAACUCCGGUGGUAUAAGAUGGACCCGCGUCUGAUUAGCUGGUUGGUGAGGUAACGGCCCACCAAGGCGACGAUCAGUAGCCGACCUGAGAGGGUGACCGGCCACAUUGGGACUGAGACACGGCCCAAACUCCUACGGGAGGCAGCAGUGGGGAAUAUUGCACAAUGGGGGGAACCCUGAUGCAGCGACGCCGCGUGAGCGAAGAAGUAUUUCGGUAUGUAAAGCUCUAUCAGCGGGGAAGAAAAAAAUGACGGUACCUGACUAAGAAGCCCCGGCUAACUACGUG
rnacentral:rRNA from 1 species